CCAACAUGGUAGAGGGAUCUGCAAGACCUUACCAGUUAGAGCCUGAAUACUCAAGUUCAGAGGAUUCAGGCGAAGAGGACCAAUUAUUUUCUUUUAGAAGAGGUCAGCAGGACGUUUCAGAGUGUUGAUGUUUAAUGUUACUACGGGUGCACAUGUGGACAUUGUGAGCGGAUGCCGUCCGAGGUUGAAAAUGUGUGCUGCAGGGAGAUACCUCAGGUCAGAAGAAGAUGUGACGAGCUACCUGACCCACCACAGUGUAUGGUGGACCACCCAGGCCUGGAACCUGUCUGUCUGAACCCUUAUUCACUGCAGAACGCAUUGAAUAUUUAAUGGAGUGAUUAUGGGCCUCUGAGGCUUAGAGUAAUGACAAAGUAAGUGCUCCAACAAAUAGCUGUAUAUAAAUAUUAUAAACCGUUUUAAUUCUAUUAUCCUACAUUAAUUAAACCAGAAAACUCCUGUUGUACAACACCAAGAAGUAUGAGGGCCACAGCAGAGAAACAAUUGGCAACAGAAGCUUACAAAUGUUUAAUUCAACCUUCUCCAGUCUGUAGGAAGCCUUUGAUCCUACGAAAUUAUUUUAAAACUGUUUAGAAAAUGCCUUUGGAUGCCAAAUGUAA